CCUACGGGUGGCUGCAGUCGAGAAUCAUUCACAAUGGGGGAAACCCUGAUGGUGCGACGCCGCGUGGGGGAAUGAAGGUCUUCGGAUUGUAAACCCCUGUCAUGUGGGAGCAAAUUAAAAAGAUAGUACCACAAGAGGAAGAGACGGCUAACUCUGUGCCAGCAGCCGCGGUAAUACAGAGGUCUCAAGCGUUGUUCGGAAUCACUGGGCGUAAAGCGUGCGUAGGCUGUUUCGUAAGUCGUGUGUGAAAGGCGCGGGCUCAACCCGCGGACGGCACCUGAGACUGGGAGACUAGAGUAAGGGAGAGGGAGGCGGAAUGCUCGGUGUAGCAGUGAAAUGCGUAGAUAUCGAGAGGAACACUCGUGGCGAAGGCGGGUUCCUGGACAUUAACUGACGCUGAGGCACGAAGGCCAGGGGAGCGAAAGGGAUUAGAUACCCGAGUAGUC
rnacentral:rRNA from 1 species